GGGGCGGUGCAACGGAUGCUGGGAAGUGGAGGGAACGUUUGAACCGCUCUGGGCGAGAGGUCGGGGCGGCGCGAUGAAGGCGGCGGCAAGAACUAAAACUCCUAGGAAACAUGCAUUUAAAAAAGCAUCUAACAAUAGUUUGAAGGAUCCUGUUGGGGUAUAUUGCCGGGUCCGUCCAGUCGGUGUAUCAAACCAAGAGUGUUGCAUAGAAGUGAUCAGCAGCACGACAGUCCAAGUUCACUCACCUGAUGGGUACCGUAUUGCCCGUAAUGGAGAAUAUAAAGAGGUUCAGUAUUCAUUUAAAGAAGUGUUUAGCACAAGCAUUUCUCAGAAACAUGUAUUUGAUGUGGUUGCUAAACCUCUAGUGGAAGAUCUUAUCCGUGGAAAAAAUGGCCUCCUUUUUACAUAUGGAGUCACGGGGAGUGGAAAAACACACACUAUGACAGGAUCACCUGGUGAGGGAGGUCUGCUUCCUCGUUGCUUGGACAUGAUCUUCAACAGCAUAGCGCCUUUUCAGGCCAAGCGCUACGUCUUCAAACUUGAUGAUAAGAAUGGAGUUGAGGUACAAUGUGAAGUGGAUGCUUUACUUGAACGCCAGAAGAGAGAAGCACUUCCAGUUCCCAAGACACUGGGCAAGCGACAAGUAGACCCUGAAAUUGCUGACAUGAUCAAUGUGCAAGAUAAUUGUAGACUGGAAGAUGUUGAUGAAGACAGUGUCUACAGUGUGUUUGUGUCUUACAUUGAAAUCUAUAACAACUACAUUUAUGAUCUUUUGGAUGAAUCUCCGCUUGAUCCCACAAAACCAAAGUGGAACAACUGUGGCACUCCACUGCGGAAUGCUGACUUCACGUUUCCUCAAUCCAAAAUUCUCCGUGAGGAUCAAAAUCACAACAUGUAUGUUGCAGGUUGCACUGAGGUAGAAGUUAAAUCUACAGAAGAAGCCUUUGAAGUGUUUUGGAGAGGCCAAAAGAAGAGGCGCAUUGCACAUACUCAACUGAAUCGAGAAUCUAGUCGUUCCCACAGUGUAUUUCUAAUUAAACUGGCUCAGGCUCCUCUCAAUGCAGAUGGAGAUAAUGUUCUGCAGGAGAAAGAGUUAAUAUCCUUGAGCCAGUUAUCCCUGGUUGACCUAGCAGGGAGUGAGAGAACAAACAGGACCAAAGCCGAAGGAAACAGACUCCGUGAGGCUGGUAAUAUCAAUCAAUCACUGAUGACAUUAAGAACCUGUAUAGAAGCUUUGCGAGAGAAUCAAACUUAUGGAACCAAUAAGAUGGUCCCUUAUCGAGACUCCAAAUUGACUCAUCUUUUUAAGAAUUAUUUUGAUGGUGAGGGUAAAGUCCGUAUGAUUGUCUGCGUGAAUCCAAAGGCAGAAGACUAUGAUGAGAGUUUGCAAGUCAUGAGAUUUGCAGAAAUCACCCAAGAAGUAGAGGUUGCACGACCUGCUGACAAACCUCUGUGUGGACUAACUCCCGGUCGGCGAUUUAAGAACGAGGCUUUCAGAGAGGAGCUCUCCCGACAGCUGGAAAUCCGAGGUGGACCAGUUGAUGGAGACAGAGGCCCCUUGGUCAGAGAAUUGCUCCUGCAGAACUUCCCUCCAGUGCCUUCCUGUGAACUUCUGGACAUCAAUGAUGACCAGACCCUGCCUCGGCUGAUUGAAGUGCUUGAAAAGCGGCACCACAUUCGGCAGAAUCUGUCAGAAGAGUUUGCCAAAAAUGUUCUAUGUGUAAAGAACAUGUUGCAAGAACUUGAUGCCAGCAUUGUAUCCAAGGAGAACUUUGCACAAGUGAAAAUAGCUGAAAGAGAAAAAAUUAUAACAGGACAGAAAACUGAGAUUGAGCGACUAGAGAAGAAAGCAAGAACUCUGGAAUAUAAGAUUGACAUCCUGGAGAAAACAACAGCAAUUUAUGAAGAAGAGAAGCGCAACCUGCAGCAGGAACUAGAAAGCAAAAGUCAAAAGCUGCAGCGUCAGGUUUCAGACAAGCGUCGACUAGAAGCUCGUUUACAGGGCAUGGUGACAGAGACGACAAUGAAAUGGGAAAAGGAAUGUGAGCGGCGUGUGGCAGCCAAGCAACUGGAGAUGCAGAAUAAACUUUGGGUGAAAGAUGAGAAACUAAAGCAGCUCAAAGCCAUUGUCACAGAGCCUAAGAGUAACAAACCUGAGAGGCCUUCCCGGGAAAAGGAUCGGGAGAAAGCUCUACAAAGAUCAUUGUCUCCUCCCCCAGUACCUUUUUCCAGUAACUGUAUCCCUCACCUGCCUAACAACUAUGAUCCUCCUGCCAGAAGCCAGCCAAAGCUGCAUAGGCGUUCAAAUUCUUGUAGCAGCAUUUCCGUGGCUUCCUGCAUCUCGGAGUGGGAGCAGAGAACACCUACUCAGCACAGCAAGCCUCCUGACAAGGGUGACAAUGGCCUCCUUAGAGCCAGGAGUAGACUGCAGGAGCCAGAACAAACCAGGCCCUGGGUUAUGUCAGAGAGAAGACGGGGCAUGUGCUGGACAGGACUUCUGGCAGCUUCCAGCACUAGAGGGCCCCUAGAGCUAGAAGAGGACUUGUGCUGCAGGAAUGCUCCUCCUGUUCGCCUUCGUCACAGACGGUCUCGCUCAGCAGGAGAGAGGUGGGUGGAUCAUAAACCUCCUUCCAAUAUCCAGACCGAAACAGUCAUGCAGCCACAAGUCCCCCAUGCCAUCAUGGUAACCUCUGCAAACGAGAAGGCACUGGCAAAGUGUGACAAAUACAUGCUGACCCACCAGGAGCUGGCCUCGGAUGGGGAGAUUGAGACAAAGCUGAUCAAGGGUGAUGUUUUCAAGACCAGAGGAGGUGGACAAGCUGUUCAGUUCACUGAAAUAGAGACCUUGAAACAAGAGUCACCAACAGGACGCAAGCGGCGAUCGUCUCCCUCAAGCCCUCGCCCCCCUGAGGAGGCUUCCGAGUCAGAAUGGACUGAUGUAGAAACACGGUGUUCAGUCGCAGUGGAGAUGAAAGCAGGUUCCCACCUUGGGCCUGGCUAUCAACAUCAUGCUCAGCCCAAAUAAGUGCUGGCUAUGCUGUGGAAGUGAUCUGUUCAGCUCAGGGAAGAACGCUGACAGUUGUGCAAGGCAGGAAAGAGGGCAUCCGAGACGCAGGAAACCCUGAAGCUUUGAGAUUUCUGCUGGAAACUUUUUCAAAUAAAGUUUCAGGCUACAUAGCUGGCUAUGCUAGAAAGUGACAAAAGGGAAAUUAAAUAAAAAGUGCCUCUCUUGAUCCUCAUCUACAUCAUGACUUUGAGGAAGAUGGUGACUUCAUUUUAUUAUUUUAUGCAUUUCUCUGUCUCCUUGCAAAGUUUUUACUCCAUUUUUCUUCUUGUACUUCAACACUUGUUUCCAUGCCUGCUUUUAGGGGACAAUGUAUUAGACUGUUGCUAUUUAUUUGUCAUCAUGCACUUUAGUAUCUCUGGGUAGUGUUUUGAAUUUUGCAUUUAGAAAGAGCUGUCUUUUGGGUUUCCUUUAAAACCCAGGAGCUUUCCCCAGGAACGUUGUAUAUAGGAGACAGCUUUGUUUCCUGUCUUAUAAUUGAGCUAAUAGGAAGAUUCUUUGCUAUACAGAAUUUCAGUGUAUUCACGAUGAUUAGAAACUUUGUAGUGACAGAUCCACAGCUGUUGUGACUUUUUCAACUGAAUUUGCAAAUAAAAAAUUCAUAGCUUUCUACAUUCAGUGCCCUUUCUGAUCUGCCCUGGCCAUAUUAAGAGGAAGGAUCUCCAUUUAUUCAGAGCAUGGAACGGGUCCUGUUCCUUUCACACUCAUUCUGUGUAAACACAUUCUGAAGGCCAAAAUAUUCACAAGUUUAUGCAAUGAAAAAGUUUUAAAACUUCAGGUAGCAUCCACAAGCCACACCAUUGAAAGGAAUUGUAACUGUGCUGCUGCCAUUGUUACGAGGGAGACCUUCUGUGUGAACCAAUCUCCCAUUUGGAUGCAGCCUCCUCUUGUCCCUGACACAGAUGCCCAGGCUCUCUGCCCCCAAGGCUUGAUAGGGAGAUAGGUUUGAGAGUGAUGUGUAGUCCUCCUAAUAGGGAACUUGAAUCUCAAAGGUUCUCUACUUUGCCUUGAAAAACAACUGAUGGCCCAGUUGAAGACUGCCAUUUUGUAAUCUUUCUAGUUGCUCCAAUCUCAGUAGAAGACUAGAUCAGGUAACCCAACGGUCGCCAACAGGGCUCCGGCCUGUUCAAAACAGGCUGCAGUAGAGAUGGGCAAGCAUGUGUAAAUGAAGCUCGAUUCGUGCAAGCCAAGGGGACUUACGCUGCACACACAGCUUCCAUUCGUGCGAAUAGCUGAAACAACUGAUGAAAUGCUUGUUUGGGUUAUUUCUAUUAAAUACAAUCUUUAAACUAUU